rnacentral:rRNA from 1 species
GACGGAAGGUGCAAGCGUUGCUCGGAAUCACUGGGCGUAAAGGGUGCGUAGGCGGCCUGGUAAGUCUGGCGUGAAAGCCCAGGGCUCAGCCCUGGAAGUGCGCUAGAAACUGCGAGGCUCGAGUGCCGGAGGGGAGAGUGGAAUUCCUGGUGUAGCGGUGAAAUGCGCAGAUAUCAGGAAGAACACCAGUGGCGAAAGCAGCUCUCUGGGACGGUACUGACGCUGAGCACGAGAACGUGGGGAGCAAACAGG